UACGGGGGGGGUAAGCGUUGUUCGGAAUUACUGGGCGUAAAGGGCUCGUAGGCGGCCAACUAAGUCAGACGUGAAAUCCCUCAGCUUAACUGGGGAACUGCGUCUGAUACUGGAUGGCUUGGAUCCGGAAGAGGGAUGCGGAAUUCCAGGUGUAGCGGUGAAAUGCGUAGAUAUCUGGAGGAACACCGGUGGUGAAGGCGGCAUCCUGGGCCGGUAUUGACGCUGAGGAGCGAAAGCCAGGGGAGCAAACGGG
rnacentral:rRNA from 1 species